GGGAAGAUGGCUGAGUGGUGAAAGCGUUGGUUUGCUAAACCAAAAAGUAUAGUUUACUUCGCGAGUUCGAAUCUCGUUCUUCCCU
rnacentral:tRNA from 1 species